GACGAACGCUGGCGGCGUGCUUAACACAUGCAAGUCGAACGAAGAGCGAUGGAAGCUUGCUUCUAUCAAUCUUAGUGGCGAACGGGUGAGUAACGCGUAAUCAACCUGCCCUUCAGAGGGGGACAACAGUUAGAAACGACUGCUAAUACCGCAUACGAUCUAAUCUCGGCAUCGAGGAUGGAUGAAAGGUGGCCUCUAUUUAUAAGCUAUCGCUGAAGGAGGGGAUUGCGUCUGAUUAGCUAGUUGGAGGGGUAACGGCCCCCAAGGCGAUGAUCAGUAGCCGGUCUGAGAGGAUGAACGGCCACAUUGGGACUGAGACACGGCCCAGACUCCUACGGGAGGCAGCAGUGGGGAAUCUUCCGCAAUGGACGAAAGUCUGACGGAGCAAUGCCGCGUGAGUGAUGACGGCCUUCGGGUUGUAAAGCUCUGUUAAUCAGGACGAAAGGCCUUCUUGCGGAUAGUAGAAGGAUUGACGGUACC
rnacentral:rRNA from 1 species